UCGGGUUGUAAACCUCUUUUCUUGGGGAAGAAUUCUGACGGUACCCAAGGAAUAAGCCUCGGCCAACUACGUGCCAGCAGCCGCGGUAAUACGUAGGAGGCGAACGUUAUUCGGAUUUACUGGGCGUAAAGGGAGCGUAGGCGGUUCCUUAAGUCAGAUGUGAAAUCUUCUGACUCAAUCGGAAGGGGUCAUUUGAUACUGAGGGACUUGAGAGCAGCAGAGGGAAAUGGAAUCCCCGGUGUAGCGGUGAAAUGCGUAGAUAUUGGGGAGAACACCAGUGGCGAAGGCGAUUUCCCAGGUUGUUUCUGACGCUGAGGCUCGAAAGCGUGGGGAGCGAAGCGGAUUAGAUACCCGCGUAGUCCACGCCCUAAACGGUGGACACUAGAUAUGGGAGGGGGUCGACCCUUUCUGUGUCGAAGCUAACGCUUUAAGU
rnacentral:rRNA from 1 species